rnacentral:lncRNA from 1 species
UAGAUUUUAUUCUAUUGUGUAUUGAAAUUUUAUUUUUUUAGCUUGUUUCUUAUUAUAUUAAAGUAAGGGAAUCCUUACUAGAUAAUAUAUGUAUGUAUGUGUGUGUGUGUGUGUGUGUGUGUGAUGCAUGUAUUUACGUAUGUAUAAUAUAUAUCAUAUAGUAAUUUUUUAAUAAGGGAUCCUUACUUUAUUAAAGUAAUUGAUAAGCCAAAAAACAAUCAAAACACACUUUAAUGUGUGUAUUUUAUCAUGAAGUAUAUGGAAAUUUGUGUUUUAUUUUAAUUUUUUAAUUUUUCCCUUACUAUAUUAAAGUAAGGAACCCUUACUAGGUAAUGAUAAAAUGUAUAUGUGUGUGCGUCUGCAUAGUUAUAUAUAUCCGGCUAUGUUGGAACCGCUCUAAGGUAGAGCACUUCUUCUUAACCACACGGUCAAAGUUAUAAUGCGAUUUUUAGUAUUUAUCACUUUGCGUGUGUGGUUGUGAUUCGUACUCUACUUUAGAGCGGCUCCAAGAUAGUCAUAGCUAUAUAUAUAAUGUGUAUGUGUGUGUGUGUGUGUGUGUGUGUGUGUGUGUGUGUGUGUGUGUGUGUUAUCAUUACCUAGAAAGGGUUCCAGGAGCUGUGAACCGACCAUAGAACCCUACUCAAUAAGUGGAACGCAUUAGCUAUCCUCUCUGAAGUUGAGCAGUAAGGGUUGGAGAAGGGCAGUUAUUCAUUCCUAAAACCAGCAUCUUUAAGAACCAAAGAGUGGGGCAGAAAAAGGGGGAAGACUCUCCAUUCCUAGUUCUCUUAUAGCUGGAUAUACAUUCAAGCAAUACACACACUUUAAUACAUUGUAUUUUGUCCUAUAGCAUAUUGGAGCUUUUUUUUUUCGUAUUUUACUUAUCUUUUACUUUAAUAACUUAAAGAAUUACACACACACACACACACACACACACACAUAUUAUGUUUUAAUAAGAGAUCCUUACUUUAUUAAAAUAAUUGAUAAGUGAAAAGACAAGUAAAACAAACUUCAAUAUAAUGUAUUUUAUUUUGUAGUAUAUUGAAAUUUAUGUUUGUCUCUUACUUUAUUAAAGUAAGGAAACCCUUACUAGGUAAUGACUCUAUAUAUGUACAUACACAUUCAAGUAGAACUCUCACUUUAAUGCAGUGUACUUUGUCCUUUAGUCCAUUAGAUUUUUUUUUUUUUGAUCUUUUACUUAUCUCUUACUUUAAUAACUUAAUGGAUCCUUAUUAAAAAUUUAUUUUAUAUGCUUGCAUUUGGUACGUGGGAUUAGAUAGGAUGUGAUGGGAUGAGAAAGGACAAAAUGAGAUGACAAAAGAUGGGAUCAUAUUAUAUUUAAUAAUGUCUUGUGUUUAGUGUAGUUCAUGAUUAAAUUGGAUUGUAGCAAUAAAAUAAUAUUGUAAU